UACAGAGGUGGCAAGCGUUGUUCGGAAUUACUGGGCGUAAAGGGCGCGUAGGCGGCCAUCUAAGUCAGACGUGAAAUCCCCCCGGCUCAACCUGGGAACUGCGUCUGAUACUGGGAGGCUAGAGUUUGGGAGAGGGAUGUAGAACUCCAGGUGUAGCGGUGAAAUGCGUAGAUAUCUGGAGGAAUACCGGUGGCGAAGGCGGCAUCCUGGACCAAUACUGACGCUGAGGCGCGAAAGCUAGGGGAGCAAACGGG
rnacentral:rRNA from 1 species